AAGCGCUUCUUUAUACAUCUGGUAGAAUUAGGCCGUGAACAUGUCUGGUCCUGGGAUUUUUCUGCUUGGUUACAGGUCCACCAGGUUGUGGAAAAACUCAGUUUUGUAUAAUGAUGAGCAUUUUGGCUACAUUACCCACCAACAUGGGAGGAUUAGAAGGAGCUGUGGUGUACAUUGACACAGAGUCUGCAUUUAGUGCUGAAAGACUGGUUGAGAUAGCAGAAUCCCGUUUUCCCAGCUAUUUUAACACUGAAGAAAAGUUACUUUUGACAAGUAGUAAAGUUCAUCUUUAUCGGGAACUCACCUGUGAUGAAGUUCUACAAAGGAUUGAAUCUUUGGAAGAAGAAAUUAUCUCAAAAGGAAUUAAACUUGUGAUUCUUGACUCUGUUGCUUCUGUGGUCAGAAAGGAGUUUGAUACACAACUUCAAGGCAAUCUUAAAGAAAGAAACAAGUUC
rnacentral:sRNA from 1 species